rnacentral:rRNA from 1 species
UACAGAGGUCUCAAGCGUUGUUCGGAUUCAUUGGGCGUAAAGGGUGUGUAGGUGGCGCGCUAAGUCGGGUGUGAAAUUUCGGAGCUUAACUCCGAAACUGCAUUCGAUACUGGCGUGCUUGAGGACUGGAGAGGAGACUGGAAUUUACGGUGUAGCAGUGAAAUGCGUAGAUAUCGUAAGGAAGACCAGUGGCGAAGGCGGGUCUCUGGACAGUACCUGACACUGAGACACGAAGGCCAGGGGAGCAAACGGG